UGAGCAAUCUGCCCUUCUCUUCGGAAUAAGCGUUGGAAACGACGUCUAAUGCCGAAUACGACCUCCUUUCGCAUGAUCGGAGGUGGAAAGCUCCGGCGGAGAAGGAUGAGCUCGCGGCCUAUCAGCUAGUUGGUGUGGGUAAUGGCUCACCAAGGCGACGACGGGUAGCCGGCCUGAGAGGGUGACCGGCCACACUGGGACUGAGACACGGCCCAGACCUCCGUACGGGAGCAG
rnacentral:rRNA from 1 species